rnacentral:tRNA from 1 species
UAAGGACUGCAAGACUACACUCACAUCGCCUGAAUGCAACUCAGACACUUUAAUUAAGCUAAGACCUU